rnacentral:rRNA from 1 species
UGUCGUCAGCUCGUGUCGUGAGAUGUGGUUAAGUCCGCAACGAGCGCAACCCUUAUCUUUAAUUGCCAGCAUUCAGUUUGGCACUUUAAAGAGACUGCCGGUGUUAAACCGGAGGAAGGUGGGGAUGACGUCAAGUCCUCAUGGCCUUUAUGCUUAGGGCUACACACGUGCUACAAUGGGUGGUACAAAGAGAAGCCAACUCGCGAGAGCGCGCCAAUCUCAAAAAGCCAUCCUCAGUUCGGAUUGGAGUCUGCAACUCGACUCCAUGAAGUUGGAAUCGCUAGUAAUCGCGGAUCAGCAUGCCGCGGUGAAUACGUUCCCGGGCCUU